rnacentral:rRNA from 1 species
UAGGGAAUCUUCCGCAAUGGACGAAAGUCUGACGGAGCAACGCCGCGUGAGCGAAGAAGGUCUUCGGAUCGUAAAGCUCUGUUGUUAGGGAAGAACAAGUAUCGUUCGAAUAGGGCGGUACCUUGACGGUACCUAACCAGAAAGCCACGGCUAACUACGUGCCAGCAGCCGCGGUAAUACGUAGGUGGCAAGCGUUAUCCGGAAUUAUUGGGCGUAAAGCGCGCGCAGGCGGUCCUUUAAGUCUGAUGUGAAAGCCCACGGCUCAACCGUGGAGGGUCAUUGGAGACUGGGGGACUUGAGUGCAGAAGAGGAGAGCGGAAUUCCACGUGUAGCGGUGAAAUGCGUAGAGAUGUGGAGGAACACCAGUGGCGAAGGCGGCUCUCUGGUCUGUAACUGACGCUGAGGCGCGAAAGCGUGGGGAGCGAACAGG